GCAGCGGGGCUACAUGGUUAAUUUGCGCUUUCCCUACUGCUUUAGCAGAAUUGAGUGUUUUGCGUUGAGUUUGGUGGUUCUGGUUGUAGUUACAAGGAGUUUGUUCUCCAGCCGGUGGAACUGUAGGAGUAGUUCCCGUGCUGUUUUCUAUGCUGUCUGUGGGUUGUUCCUGGGAGCAGGACAUUGCUGCUGUUUUGUUUUUAUUGUUUUUGUCAUGGAUUUAACGACGACAUACCCUGGGGAUCUUCGGCAUGCUUUGGCUUGUUCAGCGCUGAUCAGAGUCAGUGUGGGGAGCAGUCCAGCAUGGACGAGCGGUAUUUGGACUGUUUUAGACCAUGGGAUCACUUGGGAUUUGUCUUCUUUUGAUCGAGUAGCAUGUUACCGGCCAAAGUUUCUUUUGGAUGUUUUGUAUUAAUUUGCUUUGUAAUUAAUGCUUUAGUUGGAUAACUGUUUCCUUGUUUUUCUGAGUUAUUCUGUUUCAUGUUGUUUUGUAUGUAAUUUCACUUUGUCAAUUGUUUUUCUUUACAUGAUUUGCCCUGAGACCAGGGUCUUUGAUGUGUAAUUUUCUGUUGCUGUAUUUCAUUGUUUUUUGGGGUUUAAAUUUAUUUGUAUGUGCCUCAGACGGUAUACAAGGUGAUGAAGGGUGAAUGUGAUCUUAAUCCUUUGUUGAAUUUAUAUUUCAGGUAUAGUGGCCUAGAGCCACCUUAGUUGAGUCUUCUUUUGCUGGUGGUGGUGGUCUUCACUUUGUGUUGUGUGCGUGGUGUAAGAUCACCUGGCGUAGGUACACUGUGGGUGAGCGUAUGUGAGCAUGAGGCCAAUUGGCCACUCAGAGAUUCAGUCUGGGGGAGUCUCUCCUGUCUCAUGAUUGGUGGAUGUUAUGCU